UGCGUAACACGUAUGCAAUCUACCCUGUACAGGAGUAUAGCUCCCGAAGGGAUUAACCCUCCAUAACAUGAUGAGUCGGCAUCGACUUAUUAUUAAAACUGAGGUGGUACAGGAUGAGCAUGCGUCUGAUUAGCUAGUUGGUAGUGUAAUGGACUACCAAGGCAAUGAUCAGUAGGGGAACUGAGAGGUUGAUCCCCCACACUGGCACUGAGAUACGGGCCAGACUCCUACGGGAGGCAGCAGUAGGGAAUAUUGGACAAUGGGUGAGAGCCUGAUCCAGCCAUGCCGCGUGCAGGAAGAAGGCCUUCUGGGUUGUAAACUGCUUUUUAUCUGGGGAUAAAAAGGCCUUGCGAGGCAAACUGAAGGUACCAGAUGAAUAAGCCACGGCUAACUACGUG
rnacentral:rRNA from 1 species